GCGCCGCGGGAGGGCCGCUGCUGCUGCACGGGGAAAGGGACCCCCACCUAAACACCCUCUCCGCACAGCAAAACGUACACAGUACCAAGAAUCGGAAAAGUUUGAGAUGCGUUGAGAAAAGUCUGAAACGUCUUAAACACGCAGCGUGCACGUGCGCCACAACGGCCCGGACACUGCCCCAGAUGGGCGCCUUGCAGGAUUUCUCACCGGGUUUGUCAGGUUCAGCUCACGGUCUCUGCCGUCAGUAACGUUCGCCCUUUCCCCGGAAACGCUCAGAACAGACCGGAAGAAUCUCAGCUACUGAAAUCUUUGGGCUAAUCUCAGAAUAUUUGAUGUCAUCUGCGCGACACACAAGGUGGGCGGCUCCGGAGAGCGGCCAGCUGCGAUGAUUUCCCUCAUCAACUUCAUGUGUUUAUAAGGAGCUGGAGAUCACUUCACCUCGCCAGAAGAUUACUUACCUUGGGAAUUCUCACCACGAACCUUUCCUGCAAUAACCUGGUUUUUCAUCUCCAAGCCUGAUCUCCCUCCUCACCUGGACCGACCCGCUCUCCCACCGCUCACCUCCCUUGGAUUUUGGAUUCACGCUGACGUUGCUCACCCCAGUCCUGGCUACCCUCCCAAGCUCUGGAUUUCAGUCCCCACAACCCAGCCCCGGAGCUGUGCUCAACAUCACCGCCACGUCUGGCGGCGCACCUUUUUUCUCCUUAAAAUAAAACAUUUAUUUUUUCCUACCUA